rnacentral:rRNA from 1 species
CCUACGGGUGGCAGCAGUGAGGAAUAUUGGUCAAUGGCCGCGAGGCUGAACCAGCCAAGUCGCGUGAAGGAUGACUGCCCUACGGGUUGUAAACUUCUUUUAUAGAGGAGUAAAGUGAGUCACGUGUGACUCUUUGUGUGUACCCUAUGAAUAAGCAUCGGCUAACUCCGUGCCAGCAGCCGCGGUAAUACGGAGGAUUCGAGCGUUAUCCGGAUUUAUUGGGUUUAAAGGGUGCGUAGGUGGGUGUUUAAGUCAGCUGUGAAAUUUUGGGGCUCAACCCUAAAACUGCCGUUGAUACUGGAACCCUUGAGUGCGCGAGAGGUAGGCGGAAUGCGUGGUGUAGCGGUGAAAUGCAUAGAUAUCACGCAGAACUCCGAUUGCGAAGGCAGCAUAC